UUUCGGGGUUCCUGGGUGUCACGCAGAUCUCGGUGGAACCUCCAAAUGAUAGAACCUAGUGGGGAAACCCCCCACUCAAUUCCCAAUCCAGCGUGCACCCAAAGAAUCACGAAUAGACCG
rnacentral:pre_miRNA from 7 species